rnacentral:rRNA from 1 species
GCGCUCUCUGGAUAGGCCAGGGAGCAUGCCUCUUUGAGCAUCGUUUUCACCUCUGCUCGACUGCGCUCUUUCACUAGAGCCGCGUGUCGGAAGAUGAGUGCUCUCAUUCAUUUAUUGAGUGAGUGCCUUGAAAUGCGGUGAGCUUUUCUAACCUUUCACACUAUGCGACGCUUUCGCUCGUACUGUGUGCUGUGGAUAAUUUAUUAUUCAACAGCUGCACUGUAUGAAAGUGUUUGCGUGAAUAAACGGAAAAUGUCUCAGUGGAAAUUAAAUUCUCUUGAAUUAGAUCUCAAAUGAAGUAAGAUUACCCGCUGAACUUAAGCAUAUUAUUAAGCGGAGGAAAAGAAACUAACAAGGAUGCCCUCAGUAACGGCGAGUGAAGCGGGCAAAGCUCAACCUGAAAAUCGGGUAUCCAAGCGGGUGCUCGAAUUGUGGGCUAGAGACGCGUGAUCAGUGUGUGACCCAGAUAUAAAUCUUUUGAAACAAGGUGUCAUAGAGGGUGAGAACCCCGUCUGUGAUCUGGAGCUUCGCCGCGUACGAUCCGUGUUCGUAGAGUCGAGUUGUUUGGGAUUGCAGC